rnacentral:rRNA from 1 species
GAGUUUGAUCAUGGCUCAGAAUAAACGCUGGCGGCGUGCCUAACACAUGCAAGUCGCACGAGAAAGCCUGGUUUCGGCUGGGCGAGUAAAGUGGCGCACGGGUGAGUAACGCGUAGGCAACCUACCCCUGUAUUUGGGAUAACAGAGCGAAAGCGCUGCUAAUACCGGAUACGAUCCAUUGGCGGGAGUUGAUGGAUGAAAGUCAGCCUCUCGAAGAGGCUGAUGUACGGGGAUGGGCCUGCGUCCUAUCAGCUAGUUGGUAGGGUAACGGCCUACCAAGGCGACGACGGGUAGCUGGUCUGAGAGGAUGAUCAGCCACACUGGCACUGGAACACGGGCCAGACUCCUACGGGAGGCAGCAGUGAGGAAUUUUGCGCAAUGGCCGCAAGGCUGACGCAGCAACGCCGCGUGGGUGAAGAAGGCCUUCGGGUCGUAAAGCCCUGUCAGGUGGGAAGAAGUGCUUGGGGGUAAAUAGCCCUUGAGUUUGACGGUACCACCAGAGGAAGCACCGGCUAACUCCGUGCCAGCAGCCGCGGUAAUACGGAGGGUGCGAGCGUUAUUCGGAAUUACUGGGCGUAAAGCGCGUGCAGGCGGGGGUGCAAGUCUGAUGUGAAAGCCCUGGGCUUAACCUGGGAAGUGCAUUGGAAACUGCAUCUCUUGAGUACU